AGUAUAACGUAUAACAUUAUAUCUAAUGCAUCGUUAUUUCCCUUUUUAUUAUUAUUAUUAUUUUGUUUACUGUUCUUUUAUUAUUUCAUUUUACCGCUCGUUAAUAUUAUUAUUUAAUUGUUUUAUAUUACAUAACCAUAACUAACCAAUUCCUACUGCAAGUUUUGCUUCCAUCAGUAUAGUUGUCCUUUCAUUCCUUACUUGUAUGACAAUUGUGUGAGUGUGCUAAGUGCUGUCGCGCAGGUGCUCUUGCGCUAGGGUUGGUUCCUGUGACUUCACCUCGCGGGUUUGGUUCUGGUUUUUUUUCUCUUGAUAUAUAAAUUACUGUGUUAUUAUUUUAUUAUUAUCAUGCCUUUUUUUUUGUAAAAGGGAUUCGAUAGCUGCUCAUUAUUUAAAAAAAAAAAAUGUAAUCCCUCUCCCCUUCAAGCGCCUGCAGUUCGCCAGCUCCUGUCGUCUUCAGCUCCAGCGGAUUGGCGAAAAUCAAAUUGUGAUGUACGCUAUGUAUCCCAAGGGGGAGUAUGUUCGCACCCCGAUUAGGGCAACACUACCAGCAACUUAUGGUGGUGGUGUUGGUAACACUCCUAGAUGACGCUUCCUCCAGCCACCACCAUCCAUCGGCCUCGCUCCGUGCCGUUCGAGCGUUACGCGAGUUUUUGUUCUCCCGAACUGUUCAUAUUCAAGCAGCUCAGCAUUCAAGUCGGUUCGGCACCAAAACCUCGUGGUCAGAUCGUGUCACCAACUCAACAUCGACAGUUCAGCCAGGAGCUAUAAUUCUCCUCUUUUAUUAUGUUCUGUACGAGCAGUUGUCUUUUUAUAUAUUUUAUUAUAUCGUAUUUGUUGUUCUUUAGUAUUAUCAUUUAUCUUGUACCUCAUUCAGGUAGAUUGGCCAUCACUGGUGAGUGUUAAUUAGAUCUUAUUAUUUUGUUUGUAUACUUAAAGGUAAAAGGUGUAUAGAAAUAAAUAUCAACUUAUAUUUAAACA